rnacentral:rRNA from 1 species
UACGUAGGGUGCGAGCGUUGUCCGGAAUUAUUGGGCGUAAAGGGCUCGUAGGCGGUUUGUCGCGUCGGGAGUGAAAAUCCAGGGCUUAACUCUGGACUGGCUUCCGAUACGGGCAGACUAGAGGUAUGCAGGGGAGAACGGAAUUCCUGGUGUAGCGGUGAAAUGCGUAGAUAUCUGGAGGAACACCGGUGGCGAAGGCGGCAUCCUGGACCGAGAUUGACGCUGAUGCGCGAAAGCCAGGGGAGCAAACGGG